UACGUAGGGUGCAAGCGUUGUCCGGAAUUAUUGGGCGUAAAGAGCUCGUAGGCGGUCUGUCGCGUCUGCUGUGAAAACUCAGGGCUUAACCCUGAGCUUGCAGUGGGUACGGGCAGACUAGAGUGCGGUAGGGGAGACUGGAAUUCCUGGUGUAGCGGUGAAAUGCGUAGAUAUCAGGAGGAACACCUGCGGUGUAGACGGCUUACUGGACCAUCACUGACGCUGAGGAGCGAAAGCCAGGGGAGCAAACGGG
rnacentral:rRNA from 1 species